rnacentral:rRNA from 1 species
GAUGAACGCUGGCGGCGUGCCUAAUACACGUAAGUCUAUCGAACUUACUAGAAGCUUGCUUCUCUGUUGUUAGCUGCGGACGGGUGAUUAACACGUCGCUUACCUACCUAUAAGACUGCGAUAACUUCGGGAAACCGUAGCUUAUACCUGAUCAUAUUUUGAACCGCAUGGUUCUAAAGUUAAAGCCGCUCUUGCUGUCACUUAUACAUGUAUCCGCGCUGCAUUUUCUAGUUGGUAAGGUAACGUCUUACCAAGGCAACGAGGCAUAGCCGACCUGGGAGGGUGAUCGGCCCCCCUGGAAAGGAGACAAGGUACAGACUCCAACGGGAGGCAGCGGUAGGGAAUCGUGCGAAGUGGGCGAAAACCUGACGGAGCAACGCCGCGUGAGGGAUGAAGGUCAUCGGAUCGUAAAACUCUGUUAGUAGGGAAGAACAUAUGUGUAAGUGACUGUGCACAUCUUGACGGUACCUAAUCAGAAAGCAACGGCUAACGAAGUG